UUCAGAGUCCUAAUAUGCCAUUUUAUCAUAAAACUAGGAUAUUUUAUGAUUUUUUUCUUGCAUUUGAUGGUCUGGAGAAAUGACAGUACACAGUGUUACUGUGCUGUUAAAACUUACAUUGAAUAAAUGUCUUUACCAAAAAACAUAUUGCAACUUGUGCUGCAGAAACAAACCACAAUGAACCUUUUGUAUAGCAGUGCUUUGUGAUACCAUGUUUUAGAUAUGAUUAAAAUUCCAGAUUAUCUUACUUGUACUGAGUAAGCAGACUGUGCCACUAACAGUCUAGGCUAGUUUUCUCUCUAACAUGUUUUUCAUCAUUUCAUCAGAUGCUAUUUUUAUAGAUUUCCCUCUUCAAUAAAAGUCCUUGCUUUCCCUAAUAUAAUGUUAAUUUGUGAUUGAUCUUUUCUGAGGUGGAGGAAUAAGGUCGAAGCAUAUAUUGGCAUCCUGAUGGCUUGAGCUGGUCACUGCCAGCUCUUGAUCAGCAGCCAACUUUUCAAUUAGGAGGUGAGAGCGAGUGAUCUGUGCUGUUUUUGCCAUUUAUCUCAUCUCUAAGGAGAGACACAUUUUGCCUUUCUGAAAACAGCUCAGAAGACUCUGCAGUUCAAGUGCAUUUUGAUCAGUGGCUGAUCUCCGCCUCACAUCUGAAAAGUUCACUGAGGUUCUCAGCACCAUUCAAAAUGCUUGGAGGUGAAGCUCUCCUCUGCUAGAGGCUUCAGCACUCCAAGUGAGAGCACAGAAUACUCAUAGCAACUGAGGAAACACCAGGGUGGGAUGCAAAAAUGAGCUCUGGAAGCUGGGGAGAAGCAUGAACCACUGACUGUAGGACUACCAGUGGAGAAAACUACAAAACUGAAUGGAAAUCUGGAGAAAGGUGGAAACAAGCAGCCAGGAGUGUAAGGAGAAUAAAUUGGUAGACUUUCUGCAAUUAAUCUUAAAAGAUCAGCAGAGGCAUGGAAUAUUUGUCACCCACUUUUCUGCAGAUGGGAAGUGAUGCAUAGAGAUGAAAUGAUUUAUUGUUUCACACUCUGUCAGAGCAAGUACUUGUGCUCACCAUUCCUAAGGUCUAGCUCUACAAAGUGGAUGUGCAGAAAUACCAUCAAAAAGAUUGGAUGGAGGUCCUUAAUUUGAUUGUGAUUUCUUCUUGCAAAAAAGAUUGAAGGCAGUGCUGCAAAAAUAUGUUUCUUAAACUCUUUCCUGCAUGUUCAAAGGAAUAAGAUCCUCCUACAAUGAAAAGCAAUUCAAAAGACAAGCAGUUCAAAAACACAGCCCCAUGUAACUCAACUUGAACAAGCAAAGUCCAAUCAUUCUACGUUUAGGACUCAAAAUCGUCUGGUGAACUGUCCGACAAUGCCUUCAAGAAAGCUAGAUUCAUCUCACUGUGAGAUGCUUAGUAACACAUACUGACGAAGUUAGGAACCUAGUGUCCUCUGUAUACCAGCUGCAUCAAGGAUUAUAAUUUCAAAUUUAUUGUGCAGUAAGUUUUGAGGCCAUUUUUUCUGUCUAUUUUUCUUUCUUUUAUUUUUUCUAUUUUUCUUUUUUUUUAUCUUAGUUAAGAUAAAAGGUUGAAAGAUCCUCUGUUUCUUAGUUUCACCAUUGAAGAACAUUGCUACUGUUGUGCAUAGCAAACUGGAGACCACUGAAGGACUGCAGGAGAAAGCUUGUUUCUGCAGGAGAAAGCUUGUUUGUUCUCCAUAAUAGUUGUAAGACACAUCUUUAUGCAGGUAGACAGCUAUCACAUAGAGUUAGUAUUCCUGAUAAAUGAAUAGAUAAAUGAGACACAGCUUAUAUGAUAGAAGAGGGAUCUUAAAUACCCCUCUUAAAGAGUGAGGUGAA
rnacentral:lncRNA from 1 species